UACGUAGGGUGCGAGCGUUAAUCGGAAUUACUGGGCGUAAAGCGUGCGCAGGCGGUUCGUUAAGUCAGAUGUGAAAGCCCCGGGCUCAACCUGGGAACUGCAUUUGAAACUGGCGGGCUUGAGUAUGGCAGAGGGGGGUGGAAUUCCGCGUGUAGCAGGUGAAAUGCGUAGAGAUGCGGAGGAACACCGAUGGCGAAGGCAGCUCGCUGGGACGGUACUGACGCUGAGACGCGAAAGCGUGGGGAGCGAACAGG
rnacentral:rRNA from 1 species